rnacentral:rRNA from 1 species
UGAAGAGUUUGAUCAUGGCUCAGAUUGAACGCUGGCGGCAGGCCUAACACAUGCAAGUCGAACGGAAACAUGUCUAGCUUGCUAGAUGAUGUCGAGUGGCGGACGGGUGAGUAAUGCCUGGGAAUUUGCCUUUGUGUGGGGGAUAACUAUUGGAAACGAUAGCUAAUACCGCAUAAUGUCUACGGACCAAAGGGGGCUUUUAGCUCUCGCGUAAAGAGCAGCCCAAGCGAGAUUAGCUAGUUGGUGUGGUAAAGGCUCACCAAGGCGACGAUCUCUAGCUGUUCUGAGAGGAAGAUCAGCCACACUGGAACUGAGACACGGUCCAGA